GGUAGUAAAAGUCGUAACAAGGUUUCCGUAGGUGAACCUGCGGAAGGAUCAUUAUUGUAUAACCGAGGUGCGAGGGCUGUCGCUGACCCGAAAGGUCGUGCACGCCCGAGUGCCCUCACACACAUCCAUCUCACCCCUAUGUGCACCACCGCGUGGGUCCCCCUUUGGCUUGUUCGGAGGGGGGCUUACGUUUUCACACAAACUUUGUAUGCAGUGUAGAAUGUAUUUUUGUUUUUGCGAUCACGCAAUCAAUACAACUUUCAACAACGGAUCUCUUGGCUCUC
rnacentral:misc_RNA from 1 species